CAGCUCAAGCUUAAUUCUGGGCCAAAUUCACCAGCCUUGCUCUGGUGCCCGGCAGCCCGGCCCAACAAUGGAAUCCGACCGAUGAUUCUGGUCGCUCGCUGCUUCGCUUGCUCGCGGGCCUCGCGGCCACAUCCAUCAAACCACGGGAAAGAUCCGGCCGCGCGCUCCUUUUCUAGCGCACGUUAGAAGCUUCCAAAGAAAAAAAAAUCCCACGCCUCCAAACGCCCAAAAUGCAUCUCCCCUCGCCUUCCUCUAGUACCUUCCAGAAUGUUCCGUUUCCCUCCUAUAAAUUACAAAAUCCCACCUUCUUCUCCCGCCAAAAGCACGCCGAUGGACUACUCGACGGUGAAGCAGGAGGAGGUGGAGGUGGUGGUGCUGGAUGGAGAGGAGGAGGCGGCGGCGGCGGCGGCGCCAGUGCCGUUGCCGGCGGCGAUGGGGGUGGGGGCGGCGGUGGCGCCGUUCCUGGUGAAGACGUUCGAGAUGGUGGAGGACCCGGCGACGGACGCGGUGGUGUCGUGGGGCGGCGCGGCGAGGAACAGCUUCGUGGUGUGGGAUCCCCACGCCUUCGCCGCCGGCCUCCUCCCGCUCCACUUCAAGCACGCCAACUUCUCCAGCUUCCUCCGCCAGCUCAACACCUACGGAUUCCGGAAGGUGAGCGCCGACAGGUGGGAGUUCGCCAACGAGGACUUCCUCGGCGGGCAGCGCCACCUCCUCGCCAACAUCCGCCGCCGCCGCCGCGGCGCCGGCACGGGCUCGACGACGCCGCGUGCUGUGAACUGCGGCGGCGGCGGCGGCGAGGGGGAGGUGGAGAGGCUGAGGAGGGACAAGGAGGCGCUGGCGAGGGAGCUGGCGCGGCUGCGGCGGCAGCAGCAGGAGGCCCGCGCGCAGCUGCUCGACAUGGAGCGCCGGGUGCGGGGCACCGAGCGGCGGCAGGAGCAGUGCACGGAGUUCCUCGCGCGGGCGCUCAGGAGCCCCGACGUCCUCGACAACAUCGCGCGCCGCCACGCCGCGGCGGUCGAACGAAAGAAGCGGCGGAUGCUCGCCGCCGCCGCGGACGACGACGGCCUCACCUUCGAGGCGCUGGCGCUGGCCGCGGCGGCCGACACCAGCCAUAGCACGGGCGGCGCGGUGACCACGGACAUGAUAUGGUACGAGCUGCUCGGCGAGGAGCAGGCGGAGAUCGACAUCGAGGUGGACCAGCUCGUCGCCUCCGCCUCCGCCGCCGCCGACACGGCAUCGGAGGCGGAGCCAUGGGAGGAGAUGGGAGAGGAGGAGGUGCAGGAGCUGGUGCAGCAGAUCGAUUGCUUGGCCUCGCCGAGUUCUUGAUGCAUGGCUUGCAUUAGGUAGAUCCAGUGAUGGCUUAAUUAGGAGUAUAAUGGAAGGAAUGCAGGAAGUGGAUGGAUGUGGUAGCUAAUCUGCUUCAUGGAUUGAUGUAUAAGAGGAAUGCAAUGGAUGAUUGAUUAUUCAUCUCUAGGAAACACCUGGUGAUAACGAACAAUGGCGCUCAUGCAGCCUUUUCAUAAGACUUGUCUGUUUCAUCUUCAAAGGGCCACAGCAGGCACACAGUCCAUUUCACUGAAGAUCGACAGCCAAGAAGUUGUCUCUCAUGAACAGGAUCCAACAUCAGUAUCGCUCAGAUUUGUUAUUCUACUAUUCAAUGUUCUAGCUUAUUUCAUGGAACAGUUUCUUAUCUUGAUUCUUGAUUACGACAGGUU